rnacentral:rRNA from 1 species
GAGUUUGAUCAUGGCUCAGAGCGAACGCUGGCGGCAGGCCUAACACAUGCAAGUCGAGCGGCCGUAGCAAUACGGCAGCGGCAGACGGGAGAGUAACACGUGGGAACGUACCUUUCAGUUCGGAACAACCAAGGGAAACUUUGGCUAAUACCGGAUACGCCCGUAAGGGGAAAGAUUUAUCGCUGAAAGAUCGGCCCGCGUCUGAUUAGCUAGUUGGUGGGGUAAUGGCCCACCAAGGCGACGAUCAGUAGCUGGUCUGAGAGGAUGAUCAGCCUCACUGGGACUGAGACACGGCCCAGACUCCUACGGGAGGCAGCAGUGGGGAAUAUUGGACAAUGGGCGCAAGCCUGAUCCAGCCAUGCCGCGUGGAUGAUGAAGGCCCUAGGGUUGUAAAGUCCUUUCGGCGGGGAAGAUAAUGACGGUACCCGCAGAAGAAGCCCCGGCUAACUUCGUGCCAGCCGCCGCAGUAAG